rnacentral:lncRNA from 1 species
UUUUAAAGGUACAAUACAGUGAAAUGAGAUUACAUGGUGAAAUCACUGUUUUCUACUUUUUGAAGGAAAUCUUAGUUUUUCCUAAGCAACUGCACAUCUAUACCUAUACAGUCACCACUGCCUAUUUUUCCUCCUGGAAAGAAAAAAAAAAGAUAAGCAAAAAAAUUAAGAGAAAACUCAUUGGUAGCAAACAUUUCUGCAAUGUUAUGUCUACGCUGUAUAAAACAGAAAUAAAUACGUAUCCUCAGUGAAUAGGCAGUUAAUCACCAGAAAUCUAGUAGAGGUUUGGGCGUUGCAUUUCUGUUUUUGAACAUUUUGGAAGUUUGAGAUGACAGUGACAGAUGGAAGCACAGUUCUUGGCAAGUGGUUGGAGCUCUAGGUGGGGUAGGUGACAGGGGCAAGUGAACAUGCUAGAGAGGGAGUGGAGGUGAAUCUCUUCCAGAUUUGUCUUUGCUGUAGGUAUCAUAAACUUAAUAACAGUCAAGAAGAGAGGAGAACUUGACCAGCAAGAUUAGAAGUUGGCCAAGCUGAAAUGCAUAUUCCUGCUCACUGGCCUGCUGGAUGCUGCAGGGAAGUAUAAAUACACAGUAUCUUUUGGAAUGGACAGCGUUCUAGAUGGAGUAAUACAAGAGACCAAGACCUGUUCAUGAAACCUGGGUGAUAGUUUUAAAGGCAUACAGAAAGCCAGAGCUGCCACUCCACCCCAUGACUUCUCUUGCAAGAUGAAUAUGUGCUCAGUGAGAUCUCUGCUGGUGCAAACCGCUGUACUCCAGGAACAUACACGAGAAGACACACUCCUCUAAUCUCCCUUGAGUCUGCUGAAUUCACACAACUUUUCUGGAAACAAACAUUUUUGAAUUAAAGCUCUGCUUAAGAAAUUACGCUGAUUGAGAUGUUCACAAUGCCCUCCUUGUCAAUAUCCUCCUUUAAGUCUUUACUUGGAACACAGGUGGAAAUAAAAGCAGAUGAAUACAAGUGACAGAAAAAUACUCGGUAGGACUGAAACACAGAGUGAGCAGCUGAAACCAGUGCUCCCACGUACACUGGAAAAGGUGUGUUUCACACACUAUUAGCUGAAACCACCUGUAGCCAUCUUGAGUAUGCAAUCACACCAAGUCUUAGUGUAACAGAGCUCUCAGAAAAGCUGCUGCAGAGAGACUGAAGAAUCAUUGGAAGAGUAAGAAUCUUUCAGAACACGGGCAUCUGGCAAGAAAAGUAUUUACAACAGCAUUAUUUCAACAGAAGAGAAGGAUUGCUCAAGGAAGCAGGAGAGAAGAGUACCCAUUCCCAGAGGUGUUCCAGAACCAUGGAGAUGUGGCUCUGAGGAACACGGUCAGUGGGCAUGGUGGGAGUGGGUUGGGGUUGGACCUGAUGAUUCUAGAGGUCCUUUCCAACCUUAAUGAUUUAUGACUAGAUGUAAGUUGUAUUUAAGCGACACAUGGAUGGAAGAGCAUAUAUUAGUGCAAAACCAAAGAAAGACAUUUCCUCCAGAUAUAAAUCCAGUACUAUGAAGGCUGAAAUGGGGAUGGGGAUACCCUUUCUGCCAUUACAAGUUAUGAAGCAUCUCACGUCAACUUCCUUCUUACAUAAUACAGAGUGAUAAAUCUGCUUGACAUAAAUCACUUAUGAAGGAACACAAGCUUACUAAAUAUAUCUCUAAAUCAAGGGCAGAUUUCUUUCUCAGUAUAAGAUCAAAAGCUCAAGUUAUAUUUAAGCUCUAAUGAGAAGCAGCCUUAUUUAUUGGUGGUGGUUGGGUCAUGGGGCCAGGAAAGCUCCUGUGUUCUAAUCCUGCAGCAUAUCCAUACUUUACAGUUUUGGAGAAGUCUGUUACUCCAUUUCUCCAUCACAUAAGCAGAGAUUUUAUUAUUUAGUUACCUCAUAAUGGCCUUAAGAGAAUGUUUACAAUCAUUCUGUAUUGUUUUUAAUAAACUUCGGUCCUGAUCCUGCAGGAUCUGUAUUCUAAAUCUGAACUAUUUAGAUCUAAUCUAAAAGAAAUCAUAGAAAAAGGUGAAAAUAAAGAAAAAAGUGAUUAUUACAUUACAAUAAUACAAUUUCAAUUCUGAAACAUCAUUAUAAGAAAAUUAAUGAUGACGGGACGAAAGGAUCCUUACUUCUGAUUGGCAUAUUUCUUAGGUUGCUCCAAAAGUAAUAUUUAUUUCCAUGGAAACUGCAACAGAUGCAAUGAGCACAGUAAUAUGGUGUGAUAGAACGAAUUCUCAGCUAUCAUAUACUAUCUUGAAAAAGUAACCACCAUUGGCAACGCAUUUUUGCCAGGGAUGAACAAGAGCCUGCGUGCCACGCUAGUCAAAAUCUGCACCAGUGGAGGUGACCCACUGUCACUGUCACCACUGCUGAAAUGUACCACCCACAGCCUCACUAUGUUCACAUUCACUGGUUGGUCUCCAGAAAUGGAUGUUAAUGGGUACUGUUUUUUCUGCAUGGAGAAAUUCAGUGACACACCUUUGAUUCAUACACGCUUUCAUGUCAAGUGCUAUUUUAUCAGGCUGCCCCUCUGCUGUCAUCUCUCACACAGCAACUACAUGUAAUGGGAUAUUGGUGAGAAGGUCAAACCUCUACUGCCAUACCACCAACAUCUGUCUCUGGCUCCACAGAGCCAUGAGCGUCUCAGCAGCACACAAUGAAUAGGUAUCACUGCUGCAAGGAGGAGGAAGAGGAUACAUCUGGAAACAACUCUCUGCUCUGCAGGCUCUACUGACACCUGGCGUGCAGCUCAUCUGCAGCCUUAUGUCCAGGAUCCCUGUGCUGCACAUGCCCACAGAGUGCCUCUGCACCCCAGAGCAACAGACCUCAUGGUGAAAACACAAACACUGGUCAGCCACAAUUUUCUCUCAUCUCCCUUCUGGUUCAAGCAAGAAGGGAGGCUCUUCAAACUGUGCUAUGAGCAAGGAGAUGUCAGUCUUGGUGUGACUUCCUCAAAGGAUUGGUGUUGUGACGCACAAGAGGAAACAUGCAGCAGCCAAGGCAUCAAGAGGACUGGGAGGCAUGUAUGGUGCAAGCCAACCGUGCAAGUGUUGUGCUCAAGCACAAUGCUUCUAAUAGCAUGUGAGCAGGUGCUAAAUCUGUGUGUUUAUUAAAAACAAACUUGCUUAUGGUAGUGCCUCUCACAUUUUAUUAGUGGGAGUCUAUCCAAGUGCCCCCAAUACUGACAUUCCACUAUUGUCUUAAAAGAUAGAAACCACAUCCUAUGGCAAAGCAUUUGUGAGCCUUUGAGGGCUUUGUAAGUUGAACAAUCUUAGGAAUCUACCCACAGUUAAAUUUUCUGGAUUCUGCACAAGGGACAGAAAUAAGAAAAUAAAAUAAAAAAGCUUCUCUUCCAAGUCUCAGCUUGAAUUUGUAGUAUUUACAUUUUGAACAGUUUGAAAAAUGCAGCACCUUUUCCCCACUGUUCAUUAAUUGUGAUCCUCAACGGCACUUCACAGUCACUUCUGAAAUAGAAAAGAAAGUAAAGCUCAGACUGAAGAGUCCUUGAAUUGCUACAACCUACAUAAACUCAGCUCUUCAGCUCCUAUCUGCAAAGCCUCAGUGACAUAAAAUAGAAGACACCUGACUGAAUAAGGGAUUCUGAUUUUCAGCAUGGUAAGGUCUUCUGAAAUAAAUUAUAUCCAAUUCUUAAGAACAGUGGCAGAGAUAAUGUCUGCAUAUCUAGAUUCAGAAGUCUCAAGAUGAGCUACAAUAUCUGACUUUGUUAAGUAAAUCAGCAAAGAUGACAGUACUCAGAAAAAGUUUGUUAAAGAAAGCAUGUCACUCACAUCUUUGUUUUUGACUCUCUUUACCUGUUUAAGAUUGGAGCACAAUGUAUUUAAAAUAAACCUUCCGAAUACUGAGUGAAUCC